rnacentral:misc_RNA from 1 species
AACAUCGCGCACCUGCGGGAACCUGCGGAGGGAUCAUUAACGAGCCCGCGGCGGCCACCGGGAGCGAUCCCGGCCGGCCCGCCGCGAAACGGCCCCCAUCCGUGUCUACCCUACCUGUUGCUUCGGCGGACCGGCCCGACCCGUCCGGGCGGCCGACCCGGACGUCUUCCGGGUCCGCCGGAGACCACACCUAGAACAGUGAACUAUUUCCUAGGACCUGUCUGAGAUAGCGGACCGCCU